CGGGAGCACCUACUGGAAGGGGCUGGCGUUGCAGAUGGUGACGGCGGGGAAGUCCAUGGUCUUGAAGCCGAGGGAGAGGGACACGCUGACCUCCCAGCUCAGGUAGGUCCUGAUGAAGACGCCCCACUGCCAGCAGACCAGGGAGGUGAAGAGCAGCGUGAUCAGGAACCACAUGGCCUUCUUCUUGGGCCCCUCGCAGAUGAUGCGCUUGGGGCCGUGGGUGUUGGUGUUGUUACAGUACCACACCAGCAGCUCCUUGUACGAGUAGCCCGGGCCCUUCUGCAGCCGGUGCAGGCCCUUCAGCAGGUACUUCUUCAGGUGCAUCGUGGCCCCUGCACGGAGACACCAAGGCCAGAGAGAGUAUGGGAGAGUGGGGGCAGAGUGUGGGUCGUGGGGCUCGAUCUCACGACCCUGCCAUCAUGACCUGAGCUGAAAUCAGGAGUCCGAAGCUUAAUCGACAGAGCCACCCAGGCACCCCAUCAGCUACCUUUAUUACAAGCUGUAAGCAGACAAAGAAGGAACCUGCUUCUGGAGCACCCCAGCUCUAUCCCUGGAGCCCCAAUUGGUCAAAGGCCACCUCCUGCCUGCAGCUGUCCUGACUCCCUGGCUGGAGUGACUCUCUCCCUCUUCUCAGAGCUGCUGCCUCGGGGGGGGGGGGGGGGCACUGUGGUGGGCGGUGCAGUGUCUGCUGGUCCAGCGUCCUUUCCCCCUGGCUCUGUGUGUCCUCAGGGGAACCGCCCCUCCCCCAGCCUCAGCUGCUGUGAGCUGCCAGGUUGACUCCGCCCCUAAUCUGAGGGUACUCAUAUUAACCCGUUUGGAUGCUUGAGACUCAAUUUUAUUACUUUAUGCCAUUAUAACUGAGGCAGAGACUCCUUUUAUGCUAUCUCUCUUUUUUUUUUAAAGCUAUUUGGUACCACAAACAGGGAGACUGCCUGAGAAUACAGCCAACACAGGGGAAAACAGAGCCACACGAUGGAGAGAGUGAUUUCUGACAUUUGAACACCUGGAUCCAGCCACUCCUGAAACCAUUUAUUUUUAGACUCAGCAGAUACAAGAACCAAUACAUUUUCUUUCUUACUUAUGCUGA